rnacentral:rRNA from 1 species
AGCCUGAUCCAGCCAUGCCGCGUGGGUGAAGAAGGCCUUCGGGUUGUAAAGCCCUUUUGUUGGGAAAGAAAAGCAGCCGGCCAAUACCCGGUUGUUCUGACGGUACCCAAAGAAUAAGCACCGGCUAACUUCGUGCCAGCAGCCGCGGUAAUACGAAGGGUGCAAGCGUUACUCGGAAUUACUGGGCGUAAAGCGUGCGUAGGUGGUGGUUUAAGUCCGUUGUGAAAGCCCUGGGCUCAACCUGGGAACUGCAGUGGAUACUGGAUCACUAGAGUGUGGCAGAGGGUAGUGGAAUUCCCGGUGUAGCAGUGAAAUGCGUAGAGAUCGGGAGGAACAUCAGUGGCGAAGGCGACUGCCUGGGCCAACACUGACACUGAGGCACGAAAGCGUGGGGAGCAAACAGGAUUAGAUACCCUGGUAGUCCACGCCCUAAACGAUGCGAACUGGAUGUUGGGUGCACUUUGGCACGCAGUAUCGAAGCUAACGCGUUAAGUUCGCCGCCUGGGGAGUAC